GAAAGCCAGGCCGGCUAAGAACAUCCUAACGUAUUGGCUCAAAGCAUCUAUUUCUCAUUUUCCCCCUUUGAACCCACCACACAUAAAAGCCCUGAUUGACAAGGAAGAGCAGAAAGCGCACCGCUCCUGAUCUGCAUCCAUUACAGAGCUCAGUCUGGUGUGAGCAUUCAUGCCUACAGCACUGCCCAGCGGCUUCCUGCUCUGCACCAGGCGCCUGCCCUCUGCUCACACUCCGGCACCUUCAUCGGUUCUCUGCCUGCAUAUCAAGCAUGAGGAGCUGGCUUCAAUGGCUCCAGAGAAUAAACUCAGGUUUAAUCAACUUGAUACCUGUUUUUAUUAUGGCAACCUGUAACCUAGAUGUGUCUAUAAAG
ensembl:lincRNA 1700003I22Rik RIKEN cDNA 1700003I22 gene